rnacentral:rRNA from 1 species
ACGACUACACUCCUACGGGAGGCAGCAGUGGGGAAUAUUGGACAAUGGGCGAAAGCCUGAUCCAGCAAUGCCGCGUGAGUGAUGAAGGCCUUAGGGUUGUAAAGCUCUUUUACCCGGGAUGAUAAUGACAGUACCGGGAGAAUAAGCUCCGGCUAACUCCGUGCCAGCAGCCGCGGUAAUACGGAGGGAGCUAGCGUUAUUCGGAAUUACUGGGCGUAAAGCGCACGUAGGCGGCUUUGUAAGUUAGAGGUGAAAGCCUGGAGCUCAACUCCAGAAUUGCCUUUAAGACUGCAUCGCUUGAAUCCAGGAGAGGUGAGUGGAAUUCCGAGUGUAGAGGUGAAAUUCGUAGAUAUUCGGAAGAACACCAGUGGCGAAGGCGGCUCACUGGACUGGUAUUGACGCUGAGGUGCGAAAGCGUGGGGAGCAAACAGGAUUAGAUACCCGAGUAGUCCACCAAUCC